GAUGAACGCUGGCGGCGUGCCUAAUACAUGCAAGUCGAGCGAACAGACGAGGAGCUUGCUCCUCUGACGUUAGCGGCGGACGGGUGAGUAACACGUGGAUAACCUACCUAUAAGACUGGGAUAACUUCGGGAAACCGGAGCUAAUACCGGAUAACAUGUUGAACCGCAUGGUUCAACAGUGAAAGACGGUCUUGCUGUCACUUAUAGAUGGAUCCGCGCCGCAUCAGCUAGUUGGUAAGGUAACGGCUUACCAAGGCAACGAUGCGUAGCCGACCUAAGAGGGUGAUCGGCCACACUGGAACUGAGACACGGUCCAGACUCCUACGGGAGGCAGCAGUAGGGAAUCUUCCGCAAUGGGCGAAAGCCUGACGGAGCAACGCCGCGUGAGUGAAGAAGGUCUUCGGAUCGUAAAACUCUGUUAUUAGGGAAGAACAAAUGUGUAAGUAACUAUGCACGUCUUGACGGUACCUAAUCAGAAAGCCACGGCUAACUACGUGCCAGCCGCCGCGGUAA
rnacentral:rRNA from 1 species